GAAAAAGUAUGCAAGAACUGCUAACUCAUGCUACCAUACUUAACAGUAUGGCUUUUUCA
rnacentral:tRNA from 2 species